UGGCGGCGUGCUUAACACAUGCAAGUCGAACGGAAAGGCCCUGCUUUUGUGGGGUGCUCGAGUGGCGAACGGGUGAGUAACACGUGAGUAACCUGCCCUUGACUUUGGGAUAACUUCAGGAAACUGGGGCUAAUACCGGAUAGGAGCUCCUGCUGCAUGGUGGGGGUUGGAAAGUUUCGGCGGUUGGGGAUGGACUCGCGGCUUAUCAGCUUGUUGGUGGGGUAGUGGCUUACCAAGGCUUUGACGGGUAGCCGGCCUGAGAGGGUGACCGGCCACAUUGGGACUGAGAUACGGCCCAGACUCCUACGGGAGGCAGCAGUGGGGAAUAUUGCACAAUGGGCGGAAGCCUGAUGCAGCAACGCCGCGUGCGGGAUGACGGCCUUCGGGUUGUAAACCGCUUUCGCCUGUGACGAAGCGUGAGUGACGGUAAUGGGUAAAGAAGCACUGGCUAACUACGUGCCAGCAGCCGCGGUGAUACGUAGGGUGCGAGCGUUGUCCGGAUUUAUUGGGCGUAAAGGGCUCGUAGGUGGUUGAUCGCGUCGGAAGUGUAAUCUUGGGGCUUAACCCUGAGCGUGCUUUCGAUACGGGUUGACUUGAGGAAGGUAGGGGAGAAUGGAAUUCCUGGUGGAGCGGUGGAAUGCGCAGAUAUCAGGAGGAACACCAGUGGCGAAGGCGGUUCUCUGGGCCUUUCCUGACGCUGAGGAGCGAAAGCGUGGGGAGCGAACAGGCUUAGAUACCCUGGUAGUCCACGCUGUAAACGGUGGGUACUAGGUGUGGGGUCCAUUCCACGGGUUCCGUGCCGUAGCUAACGCUUUAAGUACCCCGCCUGGGGAGUACGGCCGCAAGGCUAAAACUCAAAGGAAUUGACGGGGCCCCGCACAAGCGGCGGAGCAUGCGGAUUAAUUCGAUGCAACGCGUAGAACCUUACCUGGGUUUGACAUGGAUCGGGAGUGCUCAGAGAUGGGUGUGCCUCUUUUGGGGUCGGUUCACAGGUGGUGCAUGCCUGUCGUCAGCUCGUGUCGUGAGAUGUUGGGUUAAGUCCCGCAACGAGCGCAACCCUUGUUAACUGUUGCCAGCACGUUAUGGUGGGGACUCAGUGGAGACCGCCGGGGUCAACUCGGAGGAAGGUGGGGAUGACGUCAAGUCCUCAUGCCCCUUAUGUCCAGGGCUUCACGCAUGCUACAAUGGCUGGUACAGAGAGUGGCGAGCCUGUGAGGGUGAGCGAAUCUCGGAAAGCCGGUCUCAGUUCGGAUUGGGGUCUGCAACUCGACCUCAUGAAGUCGGAGUCGCUAGUAAUCGCAGAUCAGCAACGCUGCGGUGAAUACGUUCCCGGGGCUUGUACACACCGCCCGUCAAGUCAUGAAAGUUGGUAACACCCGAAGCCGGUGGCCUAACCGUUGUGGGGGAGCCGUCGAAGGUGGGACUGGUGAUUAGGACUAAGUCAUAACA
rnacentral:rRNA from 1 species